GACGAACGCUGGCGGCGUGCUUAACACAUGCAAGUCGAACGGAAAGGCCCUGCUUUUGUGGGGUGCCCGAGUGGGGAAAGGGUGAGUAACACGCGUGUAACCUGCCCUUGACUUUGGGGUAACUUCAGGAAACUGGGGCUAAUAUCGGAUAGGAGCUCCCGCAGCAUGGUGGGGGUUGGAAAGUUUCGGCGGUUGGGGAUGGACUCGCGGCUUAUCAGCUUGUUGGUGGGGUAGUUGCUUACCAAGGCUUUGACGGGUAGCCGGCCUGAGAGGGUGGCCGGCCACAUUGGUACUAAGAGACGGACCAGUCGCGUACGGGAGGCAGCGGUGGGAAAUAUUACACAGUGAGCGGAAGCGUGAUGCAGCAGCGCCGCGUGCGGAAUGACGGCCUUCGGGUUAUGAACCGCUUUCGCCUGUGACGAAGCGUGAGUGACGGUAAUGAAUAAAGAAGCACCGGCUAACUACGUG
rnacentral:rRNA from 1 species